rnacentral:rRNA from 1 species
UAGGGAAUCUUCCACAAUGGGCGAAAGCCUGAUGGAGCAACGCCGCGUGUGUGAUGAAGGGUUUCGGCUCGUAAAACACUGUUGUAAGAGAAGAAUGACAUUGAGAGUAACUGUUCAAUGUGUGACGGCAUCUUACCAGAAAGGAACGGCUAAAUACGUGCCAC